GAUGAACGCUGGCGGCGUGCCUAAUACAUGCAAGUCGAGCGAACAGACGAGGAGCUUGCUCCUCUGACGUUAGCGGCGGACGGGUGAGUAACACGUGGAUAACCUACCUAUAAGACUGGGAUAACUUCGGGAAACCGGAGCUAAUACCGGAUAAUAUAUUGAACCGCAUGGUUCAAUAGUGAAAGACGGUUUUGCUGUCACUUAUAGAUGGAUCCGCGCCGCAUUAGCUAGUUGGUAAGGUAACGGCUUACCAAGGCAACGAUGCGUAGCCGACCUGAGAGGGUGAUCGGCCACACUGGAACUGAGACACGGUCCAGACGACUACGGGAGGCAGCAGUAGGGAAUCUUCCGCAAUGGGCGAAAGCCUGACGGAGCAACGCCGCGUGAGUGAUGAAGGUCUUCGGAUCGUAAAACUCUGUUAUUAGGGAAGAACAAAUGUGUAAGUAACUAUGCACGUCUUGACGGUACCUAAUCAGAAAGCCACGGCUAACUACGUG
rnacentral:rRNA from 1 species